rnacentral:rRNA from 1 species
GACGAACGCUGGCGGCGUGCUUAACACAUGCAAGUCGAACGGAAAGGCCCUGCUUUUGUGGGGUGCUCGAGUGGCGAACGGGUGAGUAACACGUGAGUAACCUGCCCUUGACUUUGGGAUGACUUCAGGAAACUGGGGCUAAUACCGGAUAGGAGCUCCUGCUGCAUGGUGGGGGUUGGAAAGUUUCGGCGGUUGGGGAUGGACUCGCGGCUUAUCAGCUUGUUGGUGGGGUAGUGGCUUACCAAGGCUUUGACGGGUAGCCGGCCUGAGAGGGUGACCGGCCACAUUGGGACUGAGAUACGGCCCAGACUCCUACGGGAGGCAGCAGUGGGGAAUAUUGCACAAUGGGCGGAAGCCUGAUGCAGCAACGCCGCGUGCGGGAUGACGGCCUUCGGGUUGCAAACCGCUUUCGCCUGUGACGAAGCGUGAGUGACGGUAAUGGGUAAAGAAGCACCGGCUAACUACGUG